rnacentral:lncRNA from 1 species
UUUUUUUUGGUUUCUUCCUGAGAAAAUACAUAAUGUUGUAAUUUGUAGAUUUUUUUUAAAGUUAAGAUAAAUCUAUUUAAUUUGUCGAUAUGGUAUUUGAAUUGUUAUUCGAUAGAUUCUUGCGGGCUAAAAAAAAACUCAAAAUUUUCUCAUUUUGUUGAUGGCAUCUUUCAUUACCUGAAACCCCACAAUAAUUGCACUUUAAUUUCUUAAUUAAUUAAAAAUGAUAAUUAGUUAAUAAAAACAAAAUUGAAGAAUAAUCAUAUUUUUCAAAAGUGGGGAUUGGUUCAUUCAUUGGGCCUAGUCAGAAUCUCACCACUACUGCCAACCUGGGAUUCUCUCUGUCUUGAUAAUUAGUAAUAAUAAUAAUAAUAAUAGUUAUUUUGAUAGAUGAUCAUUUGUCCUUAAUUGGUGAUUAAUUAAAGGAGUAGUUCCAACCUCCAACCACAUUUUUUAGUUUUCUUUUCAUUCAUUAGCCUUUGUUCUUAUUGGUUUCUCGCGGUAAAUGUUUGAAAUUUGAAUUGAGAAAUUUUUAAUUUCAAUCAUUAUUCGAAGAAUAUUUUUUAUAUCAAAUCAAGAAUCGAGCUAUAUAAUCUAAAUCAACCACUGUGUUAAUUGGGGGCGGAUCCGAAGAUAGGCUUUUAUGGAUCAUGGCCUGAUAUUUAACUCAUGCUGGUAUCUAAAAUGUUUGAGAUAUGAAAUGUGAGUUUCUAUUUUGGAAUCUCAUAAUCAUUGUUAGAAGGAUAUUUUUGUAUUAGGUCACCAAAUGACUAGCGACAGAUUUAGGGAGAUUUUUUUCCUUAAUCAAGGGCCGGCGUAAACCUUGACAAGUAUCUAAUGGUAAAUGUUUGAGACUUAAAUUUACAAUUCCUAAUUUCGAAUCUAACAAUCCAUUAUUUAAAUUAUACUUCUAUCACCAACCGAUAAAAUUAUAUAGUCUAAAUCAAUCACUCUCUUAAUGUAGCUCGACCACGAGCAUGCAGGACUUGCCCUUGAAUUCUGUAGCAUUUGUGAGCGGAAUCGGGAGGUUGCUCUUCAUCAUGUAUACCGUGAGGUUAAUUUUGCUGCGAAUUAUCUUACUAAUCUUGGGAAAAACUCUUGCCAUUGACACACAUACUUUAUCUGUUGCUUAUAGGCCUCCGAAGGAAUGGACGAUCUCAUCGAUUCCCUUGAGCUGUUACUCGCAAAGGAUUUCCCCCUUUUCUUACGAAAAGAAGUGGUACAUCGAUAGAGAAAACUUCCCUAAAUCACGAACCAACCUCAUCAACCCCUAGCUAAAGACCUUUAGCAGAAUCAAAAAUUUACCAUACUUGUUUAAGUUUAACCCCUGGAGUUAAUUACUACAAUGAGAGUUGGAUUGACUUGUCUCCAAAAGGGUAUUAUGUGGUUAAAAAUAGGAAAGUUACAGAAUGCAGAAACCCUCUUGGCUUUGAUUGAUAAAGACCAUUCAUCAGAAAUUCUAUUGCUACCCACCAAAGAAACAGAAUUGAAAGGUUAAUUUGUUGAUAUGAUAAUCAAUCAUAACAAUAAAUGAAUAAAUUGGGUCUUAAUCACUGAAAUUGACUUUUGUUAGAACAAUGGGCUCCAACAUGUACAGCUGGUUAGCAUCACUGAAAACUCACUUUUAAUGAAUCUAAUCCCACACAAACACAAAUUACAAUAUCUACCCUCCCAAUCUUAAUCUUUGAUUUUGAUGUGACCCUCUUCUUCUAUUAUGUCACUAGACGCGGUAUUGAUUUCGGUAAUUCGAGUCGUUGGCAGAGAGUUUACAUUGUAUCGACCUUUCAAAUGGAAGCUUUCAGAAGAGAAGAAAUUUGCACAGCUUCACUACGCCAUGUGUGUCCGGAUUGGGGGCUACCGGGUUUCGAAACGGAUACCUAUAAGUCUUUAAACCUCCUUAUACCUUGACAUCGACACUUUGUUGGAGAGGGUUCAGACUGAUUUUUUUAUGUUAUUCAUUAACGGUUGAGUUAAGAGAGUCACAUGUUGUGUUAAUUGUGAUUGCCGCAGGUCCAAUGAGCUGCAAACCCAUUAGAUUUUGAGUUAUUUGUAUAUAAUACAUAAAGUGUCGAUGUAUUUGUGAAAAAAUGGGAUUUUGAAAGAGUGAUGGACCAAAUUAAGAUAGUUGGAUUGGAUGAUUGGUUGUAUUAUUACUUUGAUACUCUUGAGAUCCAUAUUCCAUAUUCGAAAUAUUGAAUAUAAAUCUCAAGAAUAUAAGGUAUAAUAUAAUUGACUAAGUUGCGUACAUCUUUUAAUACUCAUCAGAAUGUGGCAUAACAUCUUAAUUCGUAAGAUCCAUAUUUGAAAUAUCAAAUAUAAAUUCGAUUGGGGGGGGGUGCUUAUAAUUUUUUAAUUUACAUAAAUUGUGAUACUUGAUAAAAAAAAAUUGGAGCUAAUAACGGUAAUGUAUGUUACAUCAUUGCAAAAGAGUGGGGGGAAAUACAAGUGAAUUACUUAUACAUAAAGGAGCUACACAAUUUAAACAAAAAAAUACAGGAAAAAUACGCUGGAUAAUUAAUUCCAGGUAAAAAAAUAAUGUUAAAUUAGUGAGAGGCUUAAAAACACCCUCACCCAAAUUAGAAAUUUCUAAUUGAAAAAAGUUAAAAAAAAAGGUCCUCAUCAGCCCCUAAUAAUUAAAUAUAGUAAUUGAUACAAAUACUAUACGUAUAAAUAUACUUGUUGGUCCCUCAUUAAAAAUCCUUCCUAUAUACAUAACAAGCCCGAGUCACGAUGGUGAGGUCUUCACUGCUUCGGAUUUACUUUGUUCAUGAUCGUGACAUGAAUUUUUUCAAUCUUCUUAAUUAAUGACGAGGAUUAAAGAAUAUACCCACUACCUUAAUUAAUCACAACUAAUUUUAAUUUUACCUAAGUAAGCUGCCUCCGGCAUGUUAGUCGCCAUCUGAACAAUGCUCUGGAGGUCCUCGUCACAGAAUGUCUGAAA